UGGGGAAUUUUCCGCAAUGGGCGAAAGCCUGACGGAGCAACGCCGCGCGAGGGAUGAAGGCCUCUGGGCUGUAAACCUCUUUUAUCAAGGAAGAAGAUCUGACGGUACUUGAUGAAUAAGCCACGGCUAAUUCC
rnacentral:rRNA from 1 species